rnacentral:misc_RNA from 1 species
GUCACUUGCUGCAAAAUGGAAAAAUAGAGGAGCUGAUUGAUGAUAAAUUGGGUUCUCAGUUUAGCAAAGCAGAAGCAGAAUUGAUAAUAAAAGUAGCGCUAUUAUGCACUUGUGCGACGCCAUCACUCAGGCCUGUAAUGUCUGAGGCUGUAGGCAUGCUUGAAGGAAAAAGAGAUGCCCCUGAUAGUAUCCCAGAAGCAAAUAUGUAUACUGACGAUUUGAGAUUUCAAGCCUUGAAAGAUUUCCAACAAGAGAGGCAAAAUCAAAGUGCGUCAAGUAAUCAAGCUCAGCGUUCAAGCAUCCAAACUGCCUCUGAUCUCUGUGAAUACAACCCCGAAUCAAGAUCUGAUGACUAACUGAAUACAACCCCGAAUCAAGAUCUGAUGACUAACUCUUUACUGUGUGUGUAUUCUUAUUUAAUCUUUGCCAGUGUGCCUGUGUCUU